UCUGUGGACCAGAUCCACUUAUGAGAGUCAAUUUUCCAACUUUUGACUGUCUCCAGGCAUGGCCCAGGGAGGAGAGAAGAUUCACAUCACCUAAGUUCUGGAUUCACAGAUAUGUCCCAAUUUCUUUUUUGGGCAAUGAUGAGGCUUCAGUGUGAAAAAAUAUAAACCAAAACGUCAACUUCAGCAUGCAGGAAGGAGCAUAGGAGAAUAUAGAGAAAAAAGAACAAAGAAGAAAAAUAACAGCAAGUCAUCCUAAGUAUUGUAGAAACAAAUUGAAAUUGUGGUUAGAGAUAAAAAAAGAAAGAAAGAAAAAUAAGGUUCUAUUUGUCGUGGGGACUCGAGAGGCUGAGAUGGGAAGACCACCCAGGCAAGACAGGGGAGAUUGAUGCCACAAUGAAUCACAAUCACAUUUCUCUUCUGAGCCUGAACUGUACUGCUGCUGGUGAGAGCCAUCUGGUCAACCUUAGACAUGGAAAGGUGAGAGCCAUCUGGUUGAAUGUAGACAUGACAAGCUGGCGGCUAAGUCCAACACUUGUAGCCGACAUCUGUCCGAAAAUAAAUAAACUUUUAAAAUGAGUAAAUAUAUAACAGUAACAAAUAAAUAAUAACAAACAAUAUUAAAGACCAGUACAUAAAUAAG